ACGCAGCGAAAUGCGAUAAGUAAUGUGAAUUGCAGAAUUCAGUGAAUCAUCGAGUCUUUGAACGCACCUUGCGCUCCUUGGUAUUCCGAGGAGCAUGCCUGUUUGAGUGUCAUUAAAUUCUCAACCUCACCAACUUUGUUGUGUGCAGGCUUGGAUGUGGGGGUUGCAGGUGUCCACUCUCGUGGUCUGCUCCUCUGAAAUGUAUUAGUGGGUUGUGCCCCUAAUCUAUUGGUGUGAUAAUUAUCUACGCCGUGGACUAGGAUGAUACUCGCUUCAAACCGUCCGCGAGGACAAUAGCCUGACUAUUUGACCUCUUAUCAUGUAGGACUACCCGAUGACCUUAAGAAUAUCAAUAAGCGGA
rnacentral:rRNA from 1 species